AUGGUUAGGAUGCUGGAUCUUGCCGCGGCCAAGGGCUUCGCCGCGCCCGGCAAUGUCAUCGGCCUCGCCUUCGUCUUCGUGGCCGUCGUCGCCGUGGUGGCCAUCGCCGUGUUCAGCUGCUCCGACGGGGCGGACGAGUCAGACGCCAGGCGCAAAAAGAAACGCAGGGCCCAACCCGUCGUUAUUGUUUACGGUGGUGGAGGCUGCUAA
rnacentral:rRNA from 1 species